AGUGAACGCUGGCGGUAGGCUUAACACAUGCAAGUCGAACGGCAGCACAGUAAGAGCUUGCUCUUACGGGUGGCGAGUGGCGGACGGGUGAGGAAUACAUCGGAAUCUACUUUUUCGUGGGGGAUAACGUAGGGAAACUUACGCUAAUACCGCAUCCGACCUACGGGUGAAAGCAGGGGAUCUUCGGACCUUGCGCGAUUGAAUGAGCCGAUGUCGGAUUAGCUAGUUGGCGGGGUAAAGGCCCACCAAGGCGACGAUCCGUAGCUGGUCUGAGAGGAUGAUCAGCCACACUGGAACUGAGACACGGUCCAGACUCCUACGGGAGGCAGCAGUGGGGAAUAUUGGACAAUGGGCGCAAGCCUGAUCCAGCCAUACCGCGUGGGUGAAGAAGGCCUUCGGGUUGUAAAGCCCUUUUGUUGGGAAAGAAAAGCAGCAGGUUAAUACCCCGCUGUUCUGACGGUACCCAAAGAAUAAGCACCGGCUAACUUCGUG
rnacentral:rRNA from 1 species